rnacentral:rRNA from 1 species
AGGACGAACGCUGGCGGCGUGCCUAAUACAUGCAAGUCGAACGGUCUUUCUAUGGAAGCUUGCUUCCACUGAGAAGAUAGUGGCGAACGGGUGAGUAACACGUGGGUAACCUGCCCAUAAGAGGGGGAUAACAUCCGGAAACGGGUGCUAAUACCGCAUAGUUUUCUUGAUCGCAUGAUUGAGAAAGGAAAGACGGCCUUUGUGCUGUCGCUUAUGGAUGGACCCGCGGCGUAUUAGUUAGUUGGUGAGGUAACGGCUCACCAAGACGAUGAUACGUAGCCGACCUGAGAGGGUGAUCGGCCACAUUGGGACUGAGACACGGCCCAAACUCCUACGGGAGGCAGCAGUAGGGAAUCUUCCGCAAUGGACGAAAGUCUGACGGAGCAACGCCGCGUGAGUGAAGAAAGGUUUUCGGAUCGUAAAACUCUGUUGUCAGAGAAGAACAAGUUGGAGAGUAACUGCUCCAGCCUUGACGGUAUCUGACCAGAAAGCCACGGCUAACUACGUGCCAGCCGCUGC